rnacentral:lncRNA from 1 species
GCCCUGAUAUGAUUUCUUAUUUCUACACAAAGCCUUUCCCAGAAAUAUUACCCAGCUGGGAGGAGGGGAGAAAAAACAAGUUGGUUUGUUCAAGUAGGAAAAAUCAGUAGAAGCCGUGGCCGUUGACGGAGAGACCCAAGGAACGCCGCUGUCGAAAUGGACCGGUUCUUCUUCUUUCUGGUGUUAGGGGUCCUUGUCAGCUUGGUUUGCUGCUCAGAAAAAGGUACAAGGUACGGCGAAGAAAAAGAGAGUUUGCUGAGAAGGUCGAAACGAAGCAAGCUGUGGCAUCCGUCCUGCACUUGUCCAGAUUUAAAUGAAUUCCAACAGCUAAAGAAGCACAACCAUGCCUGCCCCUGUAAUGGACUCAGUUUACAUAGUUUGUCAGAACAUCGCAAUCCUCAUCCCCAUCGCAAGAGCAAGAAACAUGCACUCCAUAAGAAAAAAUGCAAGAUGUUUUUGAGACACUGCGCUUUUAACGGGAUGCACAUUCCCUUAUAGGUUAUCUUGGUUCUUGGCAAGACCCCUGAGGGGAUUAUUACCCACGACGCAAUGUUGAUUCUUCUGUAUGCGCCUUUCUCUUUUUAAAAAAAAAUAUUAUUGUUUGCUCUCGGAAACCACUUGGGUUGGUUGGAAAUAAAGCUCGGAGCUUGAGGCCUUUGUGGGAGUGA